rnacentral:lncRNA from 1 species
CAGCAGUUUUGGUUUUGAGUCGUUUGGAAAAGCAUACGGAGGAUAAAAGUUCCCUUUCUUCUGUUUAAUUUUUUCUUUAAAAAAUUGCAAGGAACUUAUUUCUUGUUAAUGACUAUGUAUGAGCAAACUACUGUAACCACAAUUUACACAAAUCAAAAUCAAUUCUGAAAAGGCAUUGGAGCUUACAGUCUCACAUGGCGAUUAGCUCUUGGCACGGUCCUGUGUGUAAAAGGUCCCUGGCCAAAGCAUGAGUAGAAAAGGUGUCUUUGAAGUUUGAACAUUCUCGUGUCUUUUGCUUUCCUUGAGACAAUAAUUUUAGUAGUUGUUUUCUUGACUAGAGACACCUUAUCCUGUGGUACUUUUGUAUGAUUCCUUUUAUUGUACUAAUGUAUUGACAGUUUAACUUUAAAAAAUAUGUUUUCGGUAUUUGUUAUCACAUUUGGUAUUUCACUUCAUACUUUGCUGUAAGCCUGUCACUGCCAAACUACAAACUACUAAUGUUCAGAGUGAAAGGAUUUGGUUGUAUGUGUCUGGACGAAGAAUUUGUUGCAGUUCCACGUUGGAUAUGUUCUGCAAAAUUAUCCUGUUGCCACAUUUCAAAUAAAUCUUAAUUAGUCUUGUUGCACGCGAAUUACACUUCAGCCGUUGCACUAGACUUCCCUGCAUUCACGGAUAUUGACUAUUAACAUCCCAAGUUGACUUUCUUGACAUGGGUGAGACAGUUGCUUCUGUAUUAGUGUUUGGCAUCCCAGAUGACGGUGUAAUGCUGACAUUAUAGUUCAAUAAAAUGUUUUGAGAAGUUGUUGCCUUCUGAAUUCGGAAUGAGAGCUUUUGGGCACAUUCUGCAAAACGCGCAACAAAUCAUAUAUAGAGGUCCCUACUUGCAUUGCAGCCAGUACUGUGUACAAAAAUUCGUAGCAAGCACUAUAUGUUUUGCUUAUGUUCUCCUAAGCAAAAACAGGGCAUAUGAUGAGACUAUCAAUCUGACAUCGUUUUAUUCCAAAGACCCCAGCUAGGUCAGAGUAGAUUUCGAAUUAUAGGGCUGGUCGUCUUUUAGAGGUUGCAGUAUUCAGGAAUUGGCUUAAGAACAAACACAAUUACCACCAACAUUCUAUUCACCAUCGGCAUUCUCAAAGACGCAGACAUACCUAUUACUUUCCAUUCCUAACCCAAAGGGACGUGCUACUGCUUUGCCCAACUUUUAGUACAAUAGGAACAUGUUUCCUGUUACUAUUUAAUUUGAAUUAGGGGACAAAGCUCUCACUGUCUUGAUCAAACUACUUAUAAAAGAAAAUUCUUGUGGGAUGGAACACAUGCUAGCCACUAGAAUGUGUUAAUAAUUAUUUUCAUAACAACAUUAAGGUAAUAAACGUACCAGUCCACUUUACAUUAGUCCCACAACAGAGGCUUAGAGCUGCCAUAAAAUCAAUGAGCAGGUUAUAUUAACACAAUUGACACUGAUAUCGUUGGACCCCGAGAGAGGUUCAUCUACCAAUGAUUUUGGAAGAUCUCUAUCUUCUCCUCUCAGAUCCAGUACGGUAUGCUUUCUUGCAAACUUAGCAACGCUUCAGUGAACUCCCUCAUUUACUUACCACAAAGGAACAAAUGAAAAGCACACUCAAGCCGAAAUGUAAGAAAAGAAUAUGAACACUAGAUCAACAUGGAAUAUUCUUACAACCUUUUGGAUUAGUGGGGGAACAAAUUUCUCUUUACUUCUCUUUGUGUGGCAAUUGCAGGGAUACCAGAAGUAUACAGAGAAGUUCCUUGACCAAUGUAUUUCAGUAUUUGAUGACAUGGCGGCGCAGCCAAAGCUCAUACAUAACCAUAUGGAAUGCAUCAUACUUUAUGGGAGGUGUAUUCCAAUGGAAGUGCUUCUGGACCUGAGAAUGUACUUUAGCCGGUAGACAUCACUCUCCUUGAGUAUGACAGAGAACUUACGCCAAUUGAGAAUAUCGUUGAAUGGCAAGUCAUAGUAAUCAGACAAGAUAACUACAAAAGAAAAAGGUAAAGUUGAGCAGCAAAGUUUACAGUAUAUGUGAAAUCAGAGAGGGGAAAGCGUCAAAGCCAUAUGACAUAGAGGCGUAAGAUUAUUCAAUUGACAGAAUGGAGUUAGAUUACUUCAUAAAUGGAACUUUUGUUUUAACACAUGGAAGCUGUGUCAUAAACAUAGCACGAAGACCUAAUUGACCUUCUCACAUUCUCACCUCAUCCAUGUUGGGAGUUGUUGCCUAUUGCUUGCCAACACAUUGCAGAUUUUCUUUUUCUUCGGAGCCCACCCCAACUAAAUUAUAUUUUAUAAAAGAGAUAACUAAUAGCUAAUGCAGUCAUGCUCUAAAUCAGCAUCCCCAGAGGAGAGGAGGGGGGGGGAUACCAUUGGAACGAGGAAUCUGGAUAUGCAACCUAUGACACAAGCUCAGAAGUCCUUUCACAUGUUAUUUAGUAGCCUCUUAAUGGAUCACAGUUGUCCUGAUCCAAAUUUACGUUUUGGAUGGUCAGAACUGACCGGUGCAAGGGUCAUGUAAACUAGGCAUUGUAAUGCAAGGAAUUCUGGAACUGAGCCCUUUACUGGUGUUCGUUUCAAGCACCCUUCAAUUGACUUUUUGGUCCAUAAAGUAAGUACAAAAAAAUAUUGUGUAUUGUUUUGUGUUUCUUUCCUUUUGUGGGAUAAUUGUGGCUUUGCCCUUAUAAUGUUUAUGAAAUAUUAUUAGUCUGGUCAGUAAAGAUGUUAGUGCGUAUAUGAGAAUCGGAUAUCUAAAGGUACAUGACCAAUCGAGUGUCAAUGCUUUGUUUACACCAGAUUUAUUACAGCUAAUAAAAUAACAAAAUGCACUGAAAAAAACACACAACUAAUGCAUUUCAUACAUGUUAAAUCCCUUGAUAAUUGAAACCUUGUCAAAAGGAGGACAUAUCAUGAUGUAUAAUGAAGUACAACAAUUCACUACUCCACUUUACAAUUCUGCACACUUAUCAUAAUGUAUACGCUCAUCAGAGUUGGUCUCAGUUGUCUUUUUUCAAUAUGAUUGUAUAUUCUUCAUUCGUAAGGCCUUAGUUGUAUUUCAGGUUGUUAAAUAAUUAUCAACAUUAAGGCCGACUUAUAUUUUUUGCAAGGUCAAUUUAUUUGGUAACGUCACAUUUCAAGAAUAUGAGUUUGUAGGACUUCUGAGUAGCCAUACUUAUUCUGCCUAAUGGUUUUUCUAUAAGCUGGCGAUAUCAGGACUAAGGUUUCAGACAUGGUGACUUGGUACUUACAGUUGAGAAGAGCUAGAUAUUAAUGGGAGGACGAACAAUACACUGACUUCUUCAUAAAAGCAAACACUGAUACAACACAUUAAGGAAUCCUUUCCUAGACCCUCAUGUUAGUCCAACUUAAGGCAGAGUUCAACUCCAUUCCAACUGCUAAAAAACUGCUGCUAUGGUGGACAAGCUUUAGAGGGAAAAGAAUCUGUGUGAAGGUAUGGAGCAUUAUGUCCUAUGAUCUUCCUAGGUAAAUAGAGUUAUAAUAAGAUCUGAUCUGAUCUCUGUGUGUGGCGAACGAGGAAUUCGAGAUGUUUCUUCUCAUGUUUCAAAGGUUAUUGUGGCUCAAAAAGCAAAAAGUUGAGCAAUGUCAACUGAAACAUUGAGCAAGAUUAAUGUACAAACAAUGAUAACUGGUGCCUGUUAAGUGCAUAUUUUGGAUGUUUUGUUUUAGUGUGGAGGUCAAACUCUGAUCAGAUGUCUGCUGCUAUUAAAAGUUUUUGGUUCCCUCAGUUUUACCAGACUGUGUUCAUUUCAUGCACAAAAUGAUCAGGAGUGUAUAUAACUUUUUUUGGUGAUUAAUGAAAUAAUAAUUUUACUCUUUGAAGUUUGAACAUUCUCGUGUCUUUUGCUUUCCUUGGGACAAUAAUUUUAGUAGUUGUUUUCUUGACUAGAGACACCUUAUCCUGUGGUACUUCUGUAUGAUUCCUUUUAUUGUACUAAUGUAUUGACAGUUUAACUAUAAAAAAUGAGUUUUCGGUAUUUGUUAUCACGUUUGGUAUUUCACUUCAUACUUUGCUGUAAGCCUGUCACUGCCAAACUACAAACUACUAAUGUUCAGAGUGAGAGGAUUUGGUUGUAUGUGUCUAAACGAAGAGUUUGUUGCAGUUCCAUGUUGGAUAUGUUCUGCAAAAUUAUCCUGUUGCCACAUUUCAAAUAAAUCUUAACUAGUCUUGUUGCACGCGAAUUACAUUUCAGCCGUUGCACUAGACUUCCCUGCAUUCACGAAUAUUGACUAUUAACAUCCCAAGUUGACUUUCUUGACAUGGGUAAGACAGUUGCUUCUGUAUUAGUACUUGGCAUCGUAGAUGACGGUGUAAUACUGACCUUAUAGUUCAAUAGAAUGUUUUGAGAAGUUGUUGCCUUCUGAGUUCUGGAUGAGAGCUUUUGGGCACAUUCAGCAAAACGAGCAACAAAUCAUAUAUAGAGGUCCCUGCUUGCAUUGCAGCCAGUAAUGUGUACAAAAAUUCGUAGCAAGCACUAUAUGUUUUGCUUAUGUUCUCCUAAGCAAAAAUAGGGCAUAUGCUGAGACUGUCAAUCUGACAUUCUGUUAUUCCAAAGACCCCAGCUAGGUCAGACUAGAUUUCGAAUUAUAGUGCUGGUCGACUUUUAGAGGCUGCAGUAUUCAGGAAUUGGCUUAAGAACAAAUACAAUUACCACCAACAUUCUAUUCACCAUCGACAUUCUUAAAGACGCAGACAUACCUAUUACUUUCCAUUCCUAACCCAAAGAGACGUGCUACGGCUUUGCCCAACUUUUAGUACAAUAGGAACAUGUUUCCUGUUACUAUUUAAUUUGAAUUCGGGGACAAAGCUCUCACUGUCUGGAUCAAACUACUUAUAAAAGCAAAUUCUUGUGGAAUGGAACACAUGCUAGCCACUAGAAUGUGUUAAUAAAUUACUUUCAUAACAACAUUAAGGUACUAAACGUACCAGUCCACUUUACAUUAGUCCCACAACAGAGGCCUAGAGCUGCCUUAAAAUCAAUGAGCAGGUUAUAUUAACACAAUUGACACUGAUAUCCUUGUACCCCGAGAGAGGUUUAUCUACCAAUGAUUUUGGCAGAUCUCUAUCUUCUCCUCUCAGAUGCAGUACGGUAUGCUUUCUUGCAAACUUAGCAACGCUUCAGUGAACUCCCUCAUUUACUUACCACAAAGGAACAAAUGAAGAGCACACUCAAGCCGAAAGUAAGAAAAGAAUAUGAACACUGGAUCAACAUGGAAUAUUCUUACAACCUUUUGGAUUAGUGGGGGAACAAAUUUCUCUUUACUUCUCUUUGUGUGGCAAUUGCAGGGAUGCCAGAAGUAUACAUAGAAGUUCCUUGACCAAUGUAUUUCAGUAUUUGAUGACAUGGCGGCGCAGCCAAAGCUCAUACAUAACCAUAAGGAGGGCGAUUUUGUGAAAACCCUAGACAUUUGUGUGGAAAUCUGCAUAUACCCCACUAAAGAUUUUGAAUUUGUAUUCACCCUAGGAUGUUAACGUUUCCGUCUAAAAAGUAACUGUUGGUUCUGACAUGGAAAAGUAUGCUAACGUGUAUUUAACUCAGGGACACAUGUUUAAAUCUGAUGCUUUGGGAUCCAUUAUAAUCAACGGUUGUAGUCGAUCUAUAAACAGGCUGUCUUCUUCCCCAAGCUAAUUUGAUUCUCUGAAACAAAAAAUUGAAAUCAAACUUUGAACUUUCUAUCUUUUUAUUCUUCUUCUUCUGUUCUCUUUUAAUGACUUCUCUUGUAUUUUCUACUGUAACUAACAUUCCAAAGUUUGGACUUGGAAAUCCUCUCAACAUUGUUUUUCAACUGAAAAGAUAGUCAAUUUCAGAAGAAAUUAGUUGAAACAAUUGAUUCAACAUUCCCAGCAAUUCGAAGUUUUGAUUCUGUAUCAAUAGCAAUCAAUUCCAAAACCCUAACUGAUCCAAUUAUUGAAUCCAAAUUCCCUUUUUCCAAAAUAAAAACAAUUGAAACUAAUAAAUCACGAUUUUUCGCCAUUGAUCUCAUCAAUUGAUCUUUAUCUCUGUAUUCCAUUAAAACCAAAUCCAAAACCCUAAUUGUUUGUUCAAACACAACAAUUUUCUUCUUCAAAUCAUUAUCAACCUUCACAUUACUUAAAAUAUCAACAAAAACAAGAACAAAACCUUCUAUAUCAGCAACAAACUUAUGAUUCUCAUCACAAAUUUUUGCAAAUUCAAUAAUUCUUGCAAUUCCUUAAAAAUAAUUUGCAUCUCUAACUUCAAUCUUUUUAAUUAAAUCUCUAAGUUGUUGAGGAGAAAUAGAAAAAUUCUGAUUAGAAGAAGGAGAUAGUUGUGAUGAAGUAUGGUUGUUGUUGGUGGAUCGGAAUUAGACCAGAUCUGAAUAAAACGGUGAAGAGUAUAAUUAGGAACUAUCAUAGCCGUCGGAUUUAAUCUUUACUUGGUACAUAUCAUAGCCGUUGAAUUUAAUCACAUCUGUUCAACCAGAUUAUAACACGUCUACUCUUAUUUAAGUUUACACCACAUCAGAUUCAUUUAUUAUUAAAUAAUCCACGUCACAUUCUGCUAACAGGUUUUUGACAGAAUCGUUAACUUCCUAGUGCUAAGACAAAAUAAAAAUCUUUAGUGGGGUAAUCGCAAAUAAACGCACAAACACAUGUACUUUAGCCGGUAGACAUCACUCUCCUUGAGUAUGACAAAGAACUUAAGCCAAUUGAGGAUAUCGUUGAAUGGCAAGUCAUAGUAAUCAGACAAGAUGAAUGGCAAGUCAUAGUAAUCAGACAAGAUAACUGUAAAAGAAAAAGGUAAGGUUGAGCAGCAAACUUUACAGCAUAUGUGUAAUCAGAGAGGGGAAAACGUCAAAGCCAUAUGACAUAGAGGCGUAAGAUUAUUUAAUUGACAGAAUGGAGUUAGAUUCCUUCAUAAAUGGAACUUUUGUUUUAACACAUGGAAGCUGUGUCAUAAACAUAGCACGAAGACCUAAUUGACCAUCUCACAUUCUCACCUCAUCCAUGUUGGAGUUGUUGCCUAUUGCUUGCCAACACAUUGCAGAUUUUCUUUUUCUUCAGAGCCCACCCCAACUAAAUUAUAUUUUAUGAAAGAGAUAACUAAUAGCUAAUGCAAUCAUGCUCUAAAACACAAGGAUUAAGUAACAAGAGAGCUAAGGUAAUCUGGACACACCUCAAAAUUGGUCCAAAUCAGCAUCCCCAGAGGAGAGGGGGGGGAUACCAUUAGAAGGAGGAAUCUGGAUAUGCAACCUAUGACACAAGCUCAGAAGUCCUUUCACAUGUUAUUUAGUAGCCUCUUAAUGGAUCACAGUUGUCCUGAUCCAGAUUUACAUUUUGGAUGGUCAGAACUGACCAGUGCUAGGGUCAUGUAAACUAGGCAGACUGAUAAAGAAAAUCAUAAAACGAAAGAGAACAAAUGCAUGGUGUGGACCUGCAGAGAGUAUAGAGAAUAAUAGUAUAAAAAGGAAAGCUGAGGCUGGUGACACUGACACAAGGAAGAUUUGCCUAUGACACAUAAGUCAUAUGGGUGUGACCACUACUUCAUUUUUAGAUUUUCAUAUUUGUUUUGGUAAAUGUUUCCUACUUAAACUAGGAAGCCUUUUGAAUUUAGAGACAUUAGGUCUCUCCUAGUUCGUCAUUUUGGAUUAAAAGAGAUUGCUUCCUAUUCCCUGGUGAAGAGCCUUAAUUUAAGUACCAAGCGUUUUCCAAUUUUAAUUUUAUAUUAGUCUGCUUCUACUUAUUAUUAAGAUUUUGAACUUUUGAGUAUCAUAUAAAAUAGUUAAUAAUUUUAGUAGUUGUUUUCUUGACUAGAGACACCUUAUCCUGUGGUACUUCUGUAUGAUUCCUUUUAUUGUACUAAUGUAUUGACAGUUUAACUAUAAAAAAUGUGUUU